rnacentral:rRNA from 1 species
UACGAAGGGACCUAGCGUAGUUCGGAAUUACUGGGCUUAAAGAGUUCGUAGGUGGUUGAAAAAGUUGGUGGUGAAAUCCCAGAGCUUAACUCUGGAACUGCCAUCAAAACUUUUCGGCUAGAGUAUGAUAGAGGAAAGCAGAAUUUCUAGUGUAGAGGUGAAAUUCGUAGAUAUUAGAAAGAAUACCAAUUGCGAAGGCAGCUUUCUGGAUCAUUACUGACACUGAGGAACGAAAGCAUGGGUAGCGAAGAGGAUUAGAUACCCUCGUAGUCCAUGCCGUAAACGAUGUGUGUUAGACGUUGGAAAUUUAUUUUCAGUGUCGCAGCGAAAGCGAUAAACACACCGCCUGGGGAGUACGACCGCAAGGUUAAAACUCAAAUGAAUUGACGGGGACCCGCACAAGUAGUGGAGCAUGUGGUUUAAUUCGAAGAUACGCGCAGAACCUUACCAACACUUGACAUGUUCGUCGCGACUCUAAGAGAUUAGAGUUUUCGGUUCGGCCGGACGAAACACAGGUGCUGCAUGGCUGUCGUCAGCUCGUGUCGUGAGAUGUUGGGUUAAGUCCCGCAACGAGCGCAACCCUCACUUUUAGUUGCCAUCAUUAAGUUGGGCGCUCUGAAAGAACUGCCAGUGAUAAGCUGGAGGAAGGUGGGGAUGACGUCAAGUCCUCAUGGCCCUUACGUGUUGGGCUACACACGUGCUACAAUGGUAUCUACAACAGGAAGCAAGACUGCGAAGUUAAGCAAAUCCCUAAAAGAUACCUCAGUUCGGAUUGCACUCUGCAACUCGAGUGCAUGAAGCUGGAAUUACUAGUAAUCGUGGAUCAGCGUGCCACGGUGAAUGCGUUCCCGGGUCU